rnacentral:rRNA from 1 species
UGUAUACGAGAUGCUUCGGCGUCGAAGCAGUCUAUGUCAUACUUCCAAGAAUAGCUUGCACUGUCAUAAACAAAUAAUGCCUGUACCAUAACCGACACAGGUGGGUAGGUAGAGUAUACUAAGGGGCGCGAGAUAACUCUCUCUAAGGAACUCGGCAAAAUGACUCCGUAACUUCGGGAGAAGGAGUGCCUUAUUUAUAAGGUUGCAAUAACAAGAUCCAAGCAACUGUUUACCAAAAACACAGGUCUCCGCUAAGUCGUAAGACGAUGUAUGGGGGCUGACGCCUGCCCAGUGCCAGAAGGUUAAAGAAGUUGGUUAGCAUCCGCGAAGCUGAUAACUGAAGCCCUGGUGAACGGCGGCCGUAACUAUAACGGUCCUAAGGUAGCGAAAUUCCUUGUCGGGUAAGUUCCGACCCGCACGAAAGGCGUAAUGAUUUGGAUACUGUCUCGGAGAGGGGCUCGGUGAAAUAGACUUGUCUGUGAAGAUGCGGACUACCUGCACCAGGACAGAAAGACCCUAUGAAGCUUUACUGUAACCUGAAAUUGAAAUUGGACUUUACUUGCGCAGUAUAGGUGGGAGGCGUUGAGAAUAUUCUUGCGGGAUUAUUGGAGCCAUCAGUGAGAUACCACUCUUGUAAUGUUAGAUUUCUAACUUUGUAUCAUUAUCUGGUCAAAGAACAGUUUCAGGCGGGCAGUUUGACUGGGGCGGUCGCCUCCUAAACGGUAACGGAGGCGCACAAAGGUUUCCUCUGAACGGGUAGAAAUCGUAUCUAGAGUGUAAAGGCAUAAGGAAGCUUGACUGUGAGACCUACAAGUCGAGCAGGGACGAAAGUCGGUCUUAGUGAUCUGACGGUGCUGAGUGGAAAGGCCGUCACUCAACGGAUAAAAGUUACUCUAAGGAUAACAGGCUGAUCUCCCCCAAGAGUUCACAUCGACGGGGAGGUUUGGCACCUCGAUGUCGGCUCAUCGCAUCCUGGGGCGGUAGUACGUCCCAAGGGUUGGGCUGUUCGCCCAUGAAAGCGGUACGCGAGCUGGGUUCAGAACGUCGUGAGACAGUUCGGUCCAUAUCCGGUGUAGGCGUUAGAAUAUUGAGAGGAGCCUUCUUUAGUACGAGAGAACCGAGAAGGACAUACCUCUGGUGUACCAGUUAUCGUGCCAACGGUAAACGCUGGGUAGCUAUGUGUGGAGUGGAUAACCGCUGAAAGCAUCUAAGUGGGAAGCCCACCUCAAGAUAAGUAUUCUCGU